rnacentral:rRNA from 1 species
AGUAGGGAAUCUUCGGCAAUGGGGGCAACCCUGACCGAGCAACGCCGCGUGAGUGAAGAAGGUUUUCGGAUCGUAAAGCUCUGUUGUAAGUCAAGAACGGGUGUGAGAGUGGAAAGUUCACACUGUGACGGUAGCUUACCAGAAAGGGACGGCUAACUACGUGCCAGCAGCCGCGGUAAUACGUAGGUCCCGAGCGUUGUCCGGAUUUAUUGGGCGUAAAGCGAGCGCAGGCGGUUUGAUAAGUCUGAAGUUAAAGGCUGUGGCUCAACCAUAGUUCGCUUUGGAAACUGUCAAACUUGAGUGCAGAAGGGGAGAGUGGAAUUCCAUGUGUAGCGGUGAAAUGCGUAGAUAUAUGGAGGAACACCGGUGGCGAAAGCGGCUCUCUGGUCUGUAACUGACGCUGAGGCUCGAAAGCGUGGGGAGCGAACAGGAUUAGAUACCCUGGUAGUCCACGCCGUAAACGAUGAGUGCUAGGUGUUGGAUCCUUUCCGGGAUUCAGUGCCGCAGCUAACGCAUUAAGCACUCCGC